AGAGUUUGAUCCUGGCUCAGAUUGAACGCUGGCGGCAUGCCUUACACAUGCAAGUCGAACGGUAACAGGGAGCUUGCUCCGCUGACGAGUGGCGAACGGGUGAGUAAUGUAUCGGAACGUACCUUUCAGUGGGGGAUAACGUAGCGAAAGUUACGCUAAUACCGCAUAUUCUGUGCGCAGGAAAGCAGGGGAUCGCAAGACCUUGCGCUGAUUGAGCGGCCGAUAUCAGAUUAGCUAGUUGGUGGGGUAAAAGCUCACCAAGGCGACGAUCUGUAGCGGGUCUGAGAGGAUGAUCCGCCACACUGGAACUGAGACACGGUCCAGACUCCUACGGGAGGCAGCAGUGGGGAAUUUUGGACAAUGGGGGCAACCCUGAUCCAGCCAUGCCGCGUGAGUGAAGAAGGCCUUCGGGUUGUAAAGCUCUUUCGGCCGGGAAAAAAUCGCAUGGGUUAAUACCCUGUGUGGAUGAUGGUACCGGAAUAAGAAGCACCGGCUAACUACGUGCCAGCAGCCGCGGUAAUACGUAGGGUGCGAGCGUUAAUCGGAAUUACUGGGCGUAAAGCGUGCGCAGGCGGUUUUGUAAGACAGGCGUGAAAUCCCCGGGCUCAACCUGGGAACUGCGCUUGUGACUGCAAGGCUAGAGUAUGGCAGAGGGGGGUGGAAUUCCACGUGUAGCAGUGAAAUGCGUAGAGAUGUGGAGGAACACCAAUGGCGAAGGCAGCCCCCUGGGCCAAUACUGACGCUCAUGCACGAAAGCGUGGGUAGCAAACAGGAUUAGAUACCCUGGUAGUCCACGCCCUAAACGAUGUCAACUAGGUGUUGGGAGGGUAAAACCUUUUAGUACCGGAGCUAACGCGUGAAGUUGACCGCCUGGGGAGUACGGCCGCAAGGUUAAAACUUAAAGGAAUUGACGG
rnacentral:rRNA from 1 species